GUUUCCUGAUCAACGCUAAUCGGAUCAGGGUUAGUCGGGUCCUAAGGCGAACCGAUUUAGGGUAGUCGAUGGAAAGCAGGUUAAUAUUCCUGCACCAGCGGAGAGGGACGGAGAAGUGUGGCAACAUAGACUGACGGAAUAGUUGAGCCUAGUCGUAUGACGAAGCGCAGUUGUGAAGCUUCUUCCAAGAAAAGCUCCCGCAUAAGCCCGUACCGUAAACCGACACAGGUGGCCGGGUUGAGAAUACUAAGGGGCUCAAGUGAAUCACGGUUAAGGAAUUCGGCAAAUUAACCCUGUAACUUCGGGAUAAAGGGUGCCUCGAGCAAUCGAGGCCGCAGUGAAUUGGUCCAGGCGACUGUUUAUCAAAAAC
rnacentral:rRNA from 14 species